UACGUAGGGUGCAAGCGUUGUCCGGAAUUAUUGGGCGUAAAGAGCUCGUAGGCGGUUUGUCGCGUCUGCUGUGAAAACGCGAGGCUCAACCUCGCGCCUGCAGUGGGUACGGGCAGACUGGAGUCCGGUAGGGGAGAAUGGAAUUCCCGGUGUAGCGGUGAAAUGCGCAGAGAUCGGGAGGAACACCCGUAGCGAAGGCGGUUCUCUGGGCCGGUACUGACGCUGAGGAGCGAAAGCGUGGGGAGCAAACAGG
rnacentral:rRNA from 1 species